rnacentral:rRNA from 1 species
UACCAGCACCCCGAGUGGUCGGGACGAUUAUUGGGCCUAAAGCAUCCGUAGCCGGUUCUACAAGUCUUCCGUUAAAUCCACCUGCUUAACAGAUGGGCUGCGGAGGAUACUAUAGAGCUAGGAGGCGGGAGAGGCAAGCGGUACUUAGUGGGUAGGGGUAAAAUCCGUUGAUCCAUUGAAGACCACCAGUGGCGAAGGCGGCUUGCCAGAAUGCGCUCGACGGUGAGGGAUGAAAGCUGGGGGGGCAAACCGG